rnacentral:miRNA from 1 species
UAGUACGGCCCAUGUUGGCUC